AGAGAGAGCACAUGUUUGUCUUUUACGUUAGCCCAUAUUUUGAUUGAGACAAGCUCGUCUAUAUGUACCUGCAUAGUUUUAUGUUUCAGAAAUGUAUCACUGGCAGUUCUUUUCUAUCACAUGCAUAUGCCUCCUCAUGUUGUGUGGGUGCUUAUUUAUGUAUGUUAAAUGGUGUAAUUGUGAUCGUAAAACUAGCUUUCUGAAAUUCAGAGAUGUCGAAUGGGCCAUUUGGAUGAUGCAUUUCACAUCAGGACAUCUCAAAAUAGACUCUUGUUGUGAAAGUAGCACACUCAACAACCGAUAUUACCCUCACCUAGUGCAAGUAUAUAUCAGAUAUUAUUGUUGAAACAGAGCUGCUACUGCAAAAGGCUAGUAGCCACGCUAAUUAUUUUCAAAAAAAUACUGAACUGAGAUCGUUGUGGACCUCUAGCAGGGAUAACUCCAAGGUAGGACUGUGCUAAUGCUCAACCCAAUGAGUUGUUGAUGGCUUUGAUGAUAAUGGGUCAAAGAGAAGUGAUCCAUCUUGGUAGUGUCUUCAGAAGUAGAUGGUUAAUGCCCGAUUGCAUAGCUAGUUUGAUAAUGGGAUCUUCCUGAUUCAAUACCUAUUUGUUUCGGCAAAGAUUUAUUUUUACUUCUUGUUUAAUUUUUAACCAUAGUGCUUUGGAGAUGCUAGUAAAGAUCUGCUGGAGUAGCAGUAGCUUCUGUUUUAUGACCCCAUUUUAGUUCAACUGAGAAGUGGUAUAAAGAAGAUGUGAGUCGUGUGUAAGCUAUAUGUUUCAGUCGUGAAGUGAGGUCUCUCUAUCAAUGCAAUUUUCUAGAUUACAUAAAGCGCUUCAUCCAGAAUGUACAGCGAUAUUUUCCAACAUCCUCCUCCCAACCCCGAAAGAUUCUCCCAAUUAAAAAGACAUGGGAAGGGAGAUCUUUUAUAUACUUUUGAAUUCUUUGGCACUGUAAUCUCGGGUGUUACCUAGCCAUGAAGCAAAAGUUCAACGACUAGUGGGAGAAAGAAAGCAACAUAUAGUUUACUUGUACAGCUCAUUUACCGUAACUUGUAUCUUAUAUUACUUGCAGCAAGCUAUGCAAUUUGCCAUUACGCGUUUCUGAGGAAGAGCUUUGAUCAAGCUAUUCAACACAGCUCUGACUGAAAAUCUUUUCUUGGUUGGAAGCUUACUAGAGUAGCAUAAACCAGUAGUUUCUUGUGUUUCAGACUUUUAACCUCCUGUUGUAAUCAAUAAGAUUUUAGCACCAAGGCGGUGGUUUAGUUCUUUGUGGCUCUUACUAUGUGUGUAACCCAACUAUAAAGCAAUUCACUACUCUUCCCAACCGAGUCCACCUAUUAUAUUGAUUAGGCUAAACAUAGCUUUAGAGGCUCUAACUAGAAUGGGCAGAAGAAUAAAAGUCUCACUACUAGUUUUUAGUCUUAAGUAGACAGCAAUUCUCUACCACGGCGAAUUUUACAAUAACCCUCGCACCAUUUUCACACAGUGCAAACACCAUUAACAAAACUAUUUAUUAUGAAUUAACAGUUAUAUUCUGCCAUGAUCUAUUAUUCCCCGUGCUUCCAGAUCUAGAACAUAGUUAUCGCGUUGCAAUGAGUUGAAAACAGGGUUGCUACACGAUAAAGGGUCUUGAAAGGUUUGAAUAGUAUGCCUCUACGCUUGCCUUCAAAGUUGACGUUUCAGAUAUGUGAUGUAGCUCUUUCAUCGUUAAUUUUGGAAGUCUUCUAUCCUAAUUAACUCGGGGAAGACGAGAACUUGCGAUCCAUAUGUGUUGUCGGCAUUAAGUAGCACAUUCAUCAACUCAGAUUGUUCUCACCUAGUGCAAGUAUUUCAAGAGAACCAUAUUCUUCACUUGUUCUAGAGAGCCUCCAAUUCCCCCACCCCACCCCUUUUUUUGUUGGGGGGUGGGGGGGUUUAAUUUUUCAUAAGGGCGUCUUGGAGGUGCAUCUCUACUUGUUUAAAUAUAUAAAGUGGAGUAGCUUCGAUUCAGUUACCUCCAAUUGAGUGAAGACGAUGUGGUCUCAUCCGGUAUGUACUGCCAGCAUAAAACUUCCAAACCAAACGGUAUCUCUUAUCCCCUCACACGCCACAUAUCAAAAACAGCUUGCAGCUGAUAUUCAAAUACCAUAAGCACGAAAGAGAUAGAUUUCAAGAGAUACAAUCAUAUAGUAGCCAAUGCCCAAAACCACCAAGAGUGAGAUUUCAAAGGGCAUUACAAAAAUUAUUCUUGAGAAAAAAGUUCGUUGAAACAGAAAUUGACAGGCUGAGGGGCACCUAGGAAGAAUUUAAUUGCCCUCCCACAAUUAUUAUAGAGCUAUAAAAGCUUCAUGGUACAAACUUUGUUCGUGGCCUCCCCCACUCAUCAUCAUGCAAAUG
rnacentral:lncRNA from 1 species